CCCUACUCUAAAACAAAACAAAAGCCCUACUCUGUUGUCGUGUCUUCUUCGUUUGGAUUAAGGUUGCAGGUAAUGCUAUGGCGAACACCGAUGAACCCAAUCUCAUAAACUUCUCCUCCGUUGGUGAACCCUCGAAGGUUCUCAUGGACAAGUAUUUGAAGAUACUCAAAGAAUUUGUGGCCUCCAACGAUCAAGGAAACCGAUGAAGUCUCACUUCAAGGUUCACUAGGUCCUGAUGGCCUCUACAUAUUUCCACAUCUUGCACCCAAAGACUAUGCCUCAACCACCUGCUUACUUUCAAAUUCUAGUGUUGAUUAUGUUAUUACUUCUUCUUCUAGUUGUUCUAAAACAAAUUUAUUAUUUCAUUGUAAAUCCAGUUCUUGAUGUUAAAACAACACCUAGUACUAGCUCUCAAACUAUAUGGGACCUUAGAUUUGGUCAUCCUGAUGCUAAUGUACUAAGGCUUAUGCUUAAUCAUUGUAAAUAUACCCAUAGUUAAUAAAACUAUGUUCAAAUUUUGCGUU